CUGGGCUUAAAUGUAGAGUGCAUGAGUGGGAAACCAUUCUUUCCUUCGGGACUCUUUACAAGGUGCUGCAUGGUUGUCGUCAGCUCGUGCCGUGAGGUGUCGGGUUAAGUCCCAUAACGAGCGCAACCCCUACCUUUAGUUGCCAUCAGGUAAUGCUGGGGACUCUAAAGGAACUGCCUACGCAAGUAGUGAGGAAGGUGGGGAUGACGUCAAAUCAGCACGGCCCUUACGUCCAGGGCUACACACGUGCUACAAUGGUCGGUACAGAGGGCAGCUACCACGCGAGUGGAUGCAAAUCUCCAAAGCCGAUCUCAGUUCGGAUCGAAGUCUGAAACUCGACUUCGUGAAGUUGGAUUCGCUAGUAAUCGCGCAUCAGCCAUGGCGCGGUGAAUACGUUCCC
rnacentral:rRNA from 1 species